UACGAAGGGGGCUAGCGUUGUUCGGAAUUACUGGGCGUAAAGGGCGCGUAGGCGGCGUGUCAAGUCAGGCGUGAAAGCCCCGGGCUCAACCUGGGAACCGCGCUUGAGACUGGCAUGCUCGAGGGCAGGAGAGGAACGCGGAAUUCCAGGUGUAGCGGUGAAAUGCGUAGAUAUCUGGAGGAACACCGGUGGCGAAGGCGGCGUUCUGGACUGUCUCUGACACUGAAGAACGAAAGCCAGGGGAGCAAACGGG
rnacentral:rRNA from 1 species